rnacentral:lncRNA from 1 species
GGAAAGCUGAGUUUAUCCCUUUUUUGGCAUGCUAAUACUUAUUUUUAUUGUAUUUCUGCUUACCAGAUUUCCUAGUGGUAAUUAUUUCCCACUGACUCAGAUGGAAGGACAGCGUGGAUGCCUGACAGACACUGAUAAGGAGAAUAUGCCAAGUCAACCAGAUGAGUCAGCACAGGCAACAUAAAGUGAGUUUGUUUGCUUUUUUUUAAAUAUUCAUGCUCCAUGAAAACUUAUUGCAAUAUUUCCUACAGUUAUAAACACAGAAAAGUGCUACUAAGAUUUUCUUAGAUUUCUAUUUUAAAUGUGGCUGUGUGUCCACUUAGUGAAGGAGUGGAUGGUUAAGCUACUGUGUUUGCUCUUAAAACAAACAAACAAAAUAGUUUCUACGUGUCUUUUUUUUUUUUUUUAAUCAAAGGCUGAUAACAUACAUUAGCAAUGGAGAAUACUGAUAAAAUCUUAUCAGCAGUUUGUGCCAAAAUCAUUUCCUCUUAUACGUUCUGCUACUAUGUCUGCACUGGGGUGAAGACUCCCUGACCUCUCAUCAAUGCAAGCAAGAUUUUGAAAGUCAGUUCUUUUCUGCCCUGGAGUAGAAACACAUCAGCCAUUGUCUCAGUGCGUAUGAGCAGGUAGUGUUUCUGUGAGCUUGCCGGCUUUUAAUUUUAAAUCAGGAAGAAUACUGAUAAUAUCCCAGCAACCUAUUAGAGAAUUAAAAAUGUCAAUUUCAAUUGCAAAUUCAUUUUACUUGGAGGGAUAUGCAGACACCUAGACCUUCUGUAGCCCUAUGCAGUGCUUGGCAUCUGGAGAAUGAUUUUCUGAAAUUUGAGGGGGGAAAUUACAAAUGGGUAUAAAGUUGGUAGGAGUGGUAUUGUUCCCUCAUUUUACGUUAUUUUAUACAGAAAAAUAACUGGAGAAAAAGAUUGUAGAAUUUCUUCUCAUGUUUUGUCAUUACAGCUGGUGUAAUAUUUACUGAAAUAGUUAUGUUUGAGUUCCAAGAGGGAUUUUGUGCUAGGGCCAUAGAUAGAGUAAUCAUGUGGCUGCUCUGAGCCAUGCGAUAAUGAGAAGGGAAGGAGUGGUGUAUCUUCUCUACUACUUUAAUACCUAAUUUCCAUUUCUUCAAGAAGAAAAAGAGCUCUCGAAUCUAAACUUUGCAGAAAAUCUCUUGACCUCUUCCUGUCUCCAU